CAGAACCCCGGAGGAGUCUCACAGCGGCCGACGGCAGCGAGGCCUUUCCUGGGCAACGCGGGGGCCGAACUGUGUUCAAUAUUCACGAAGCUCUCCUCCCACAAAGUCUUUCUCCUCGUGCGUUAUUAAUAGAUGCCGCAUCCACCGCGGCCGUGACGCAGAUUAGCAACACCAAACACUGUUUUUGUUUUUUUUCCCGUCCUCCUCUAAAUGCCUCUCCGAGAUCAGUCCUGCCUUGUGAGGCUCUGCUGCUGCCAUGCCAACCGGCGGCGGAGACCGACCCCUCUCCCCGAUACGCCUCUGCUCCAGUGGAUUUGGAUCCAGGAAGUAUAUCGUCACACAGGAGGCGUGAAUCCUGACCGGCUCAAAGCCAGACUCCGGACCGAAAUAUGAGUCAGAAUCACCAACACCUCAGUGAUUAAUACAAGUGGCUUCGCACUGAUUCAGAUCCUCUUCUAAUUUCCUUAUAUGGCCGGCUGAUCGCUCACAAGAUGCAUCUCCAGCUGCCGUGUCAUUCACCCCGUCAUCCAUUAGGGGGCUCUCCAGGAGUGACUAGCGAGGCCACCCCUCCCCCCAGCCAUUCUCCACCUUCCAGUGAUUGGGCUCCUCCAUGCUAACCAGUCAGCUGUGAUGUAUUGGCACUGGGCGUAAUGCAGUGAGGGGUAAAUCGAUGGGUUGAGGCUCGGGAUCCCUGUUUUCAAUUGAAUGGCGACAGAGGCAAACCCAGACAGUCAUUGAAAGUGGACUCCUCAAUAAAGCAGAGGAUGCAUUGUA